GACGAACGCUGGCGGCGUGGAUUAGGCAUGCAAGUCGAACGGUAUCAUCCUUUCGGGGGUGAGAGAGUGGCGAACUGGUGAGUAACACGUAGGUUAUCUACCCUCAAGACGGGGACAACCCAGGGAAACUUGGGCUAAUACCGGAUGUGAGCAACUUUUAGUUGUUUGAAAGGUGGCGUAAGCUGUCGCUUGGGGAUGAGCCUGCGUCCUAUUAGUUAGUUGGUGAGGUAACGGCUCACCUAGGCAAUGAUAGGUAGGCGGCCUUAACGGGUGGUCGCCCACACUGGGAUUGAGAUACGGCCCAGACUCCUACGGGAGGCAGCAGUCGAGAAUAGUCUACAAUGGUCGGAAGACUGAUAGUGCGACGCCGCGUGAACGAUGAAUCCCUUCGGGGUUAAAGUUCUUUUAUAUGUGAGCAGUGCUUCUUAUAUUAACAGUAUGGGGAAGAGAUAUUAGCAUAUGAAUAAGCAACGGCUAACUCCGUGCCAGCAGCCGAGGUAAAA
rnacentral:rRNA from 1 species